ensembl:lncRNA
CCUGCAUGCUGUUUGGCAGCAAAUUGCAACGUGGUAUUAGAUGUCCUUCCUAGUUUGUUGGAGAAAGAUUGCUCUAUUUUGAAUUUUCCGUAAAGGACUUCAGGAAUACUGUGCCUGACACACGGAAGCAGCAGGCCAACAUGAAUGCUGCCGGAGUUGCCGAGUUUGAGGAGUGUCAUCGAUAAUUCUAUGAAAAGAAUAAACUGAUAAACGAACGCCUAGAUCAGAUCGACCACCUUAUGCAGCAAAGAGCGCUGCUGCCGCAAGCCAGGCCAUGCGCCACGUCGCCCCUCGCGCAAUUUCCCCCACCCCCACUGCCAGAGGACUACGCUGCACUAUAGCAGAGCUACCUGAAUUACUGGGGCUUCCUGCUGCCGGGGGACUACACUACGCUAUGCAGGCAGCAGAGCCACAUGAAUUACUGGGCUUUCCCGCUGCCAGGGGACUACACUAUGCUAUGCAUGGAGCAGAGCCACCUGGAUUACUGUGCCUUCCCGCUGCUGGGGGACUACACUGCACAAUGCAAGCAGCAGGAGGUCUCAGCUCCGGAGUCCCAGCCCGAGGUCAACGUGGCGACCUCAGAGCCUCUGCCUGAGGUCAACAUGGCGACCUCAGAGAUCCAGCUGGAGACCUGCAAGGAGGUCUUGGCUGCCGAGGAGGCCGCCCUGCUGUCCUGCCCAGUGGAGAAAGUUGCCCUGCUGUCCUGUCCCGCUGAGGAGGCUGUCCUGCUGUCCUGUCCUGCCGAGGAAGCUGUCCCGCUGUCCUGUCCCACUGAGGAAGCUGUCCUGCUUUCCAGCCCCACAGAGGAUGUCUGUCCGAGCUCUAGCCCUGCAGAGGACGUCUCUCAGAGCUCCAGCCCCACAGAGGACGUCGUCCAGCGUUCCAGUCCCACUGAGGAUGUUGCCCAGCAUUCCAGUCCCGCUGAGGACGUCACCCUGAGCUCCAGCUGGAGAGCACGCGUGCAGGAGAUUACGUAAUGAGGACUGUUUCCUAUGGACACGUGCCUUUGUUUUGAUUUUCGGUAUACAGGUAUUGGUUGAUGUUUGAGGAUGUGUCAUUAUUGGUCUCAGCUGUCUGUGUUCAAGCGUGAUUAUGUUUGUUAUUUAAAGCCCUCGUGUUGCUGUACACUUCACGCAGUAUUAACUGAAUGAAUAAAUGUAGUGGUGAAUACGUUAAGUAUGCUAAGCGGUCGUGUUUUUGUGUCCUGUUCUUGUUUCAUGCCUCGAAUCUAGUUUCAUGUUU